rnacentral:rRNA from 1 species
CCUACGGGAGGCAGCAGUGAGGAAUAUUGGUCAAUGGCCGCAGGGCUGAACCAGCCAAGUCGCGUGAGGGAUGACGGUCCUAUGGAUUGUAAACCUCUUUUGUCAGGGAGCAAAGUGCGCCACGUGUGGCGUUUUGCGAGUACCUGAAGAAAAAGCAUCGGCUAACUCCGUGCCAGCAGCCGCGGUAAUACGGAGGAUGCGAGCGUUAUCCGGAUUUAUUUGGUUGAAAGGGUGCGCAGGCGGAAUGUCAAGUCAGCGGUAAAAUUUCGGGGCUCAACCCCGUCGUGCCGUUGAAACUGGCGUGCUUGAGUGAGCGAGAAGUAUGCGGAAUGCGUGGUGUAGCGGUGAAAUGCAUAGAUAUCACGCAGAACUCCGAUUGCGAAGGCAGCAUACCGGCGCUCAACUGACGCUCAUGCACGAAAGCGUGGGUAUCGAACAGGAUUAGAUACCCUAGUAGUC